rnacentral:lncRNA from 1 species
AAAAUCUAUUCUUGCGCAGCUUCGUCCUUCAUCCUGUCGAGAGCUUCCUUGUUCUUCUCGAGCUCCUCAGGGUGCUGCUCUACCCACUCCAUAAUAUCCGUGAUGUAGUCCGGAGGUAGAGCAGGGAAUACUGUUGGUCCGAAGAAGAUGAGCUCUUGAAGCUGGUCGGAUUGGUAGCGUACAUCCAUAUCCAACCCAGCAGCUCUAUCAGCAAGUGCGGUGUUGUUGUCCUUCAAGGCCAGCACUUCUUCUUCGGCACUCGCAAGCUCGCUCUUCAGAUCAGAAUUAUCAUGUUGGUUCUGAGCUACUUGCUUCUUCAACUCCGCAAUCGUAGCUUCGCUUGAGGCUAGCUGGCUCUUCAGAUUAUCAACUUCUUGAGCACGGCCAGAAC